CCGCGGGAUUAGAGUUUGAUCCUGGCUCAGGACGAACGCUCGCGGCGUGGAUUAGGCAUGCAAGUCGAGCGACGCACCUUCGGGUGACGGAGCGGCGAACGGGUGAGUAACACGUGAACAAUCUACCCUCUCAUUCCGGAUAAUUGGCUGAAAAGCCUUGUAAUACGGGGGAGGUUCCAACUUGGGCAUCCUUGAUGGAACGAACAGGUAACUGGUGCGAGGAGGAGUUCGCGGAUUAUCAGGUAGUUGGUGGGGUAACGGCCUACCAAGCCUACGACGAUUAGCUGGUCUGAGAGGAUGGUCAGCCACAUUGGAACUGAGAUACUGUCCAGACUCCUACGGGAGGCUGCAGUCGAGAAUCUUGGGCAAUGCACGAAAGUGUGACCCAGCGACGCCGCGUGAAGGAUGAAGGCCCUCUGGGUUGUAAACUUCUUUUACGGGAGAAGAAACAAUGACGGUAUCCCGUGAAUAAGCCACGGCUAACUACGUGCCAGCAGCCGCGGUAAUACGUAGGUGGCAAGCGUUGUCCGGAUUUACUGGGCGUAAAGCGAACGCAGGCGGACUGUUAAGUAGAAAGUGAAAGGUCGGAGCUCAACUCCAACAUUGCUUUCUAUACUGGCAGUCUUGAGUAGCGGAGAGGAAGGGGGAACGACACGUGCAGCGGUGAAAUGCGUUGAUAUGUGUCGGAACACCCAUGGCGAAAGCACCCUUCUGGACGCAAACUGACGCUCAGGUUCGAAAGCCAAGGUAGCGAACAGGAUUAGAUACCCUGGUAGUCUUGGCCCUAAACUAUGUUCACUAGGUGUCGGGGGGUUUCCCUCGGUGCCGCAGCUAACGCAUUAAGUGAACCGCCUGGGGACUACGGCCGCAAGGUUGAAACUC
rnacentral:rRNA from 1 species